rnacentral:lncRNA from 1 species
AAAUAUUUAUGAAUUUUUGGUGUUGGUCCCAUAAUUUUUGGAUCAAAAAUGAAUUUAUGUUGAAUUUUAAAAAAAAAAAUCUAUUUAAAAUCAAAUUAGAAAAAUAAAAUAAAACGAAAAAAACGGAGCCAUCAGAUCUCCCUCCUUAAUUGAGGUGGCAUAUCUGAUGGUCUAAAACACUGUUCCGCACGUGCCUUCAGUCAAU